rnacentral:pre_miRNA from 1 species
AUUUUAGAAUAAGUAUAUCCCAUGCAAUAUUUGGGAUAUACUUAUUCUGAAA